rnacentral:lncRNA from 1 species
UGGGAAUGGUGCUGCCGCUGCCAAGAGCGUGCUCGAUCUGGAAUGUAGGGAUGGAGCAGGAUACAUGCUUCUGGCCAAUGCCUACAGUGUUAUGAUCCGGCGCAAAAAGACAAAGAUCUCGUUGCCCUAGACUAUGCUACGCCACCUCUUGAGGUUCCUCACCACCCAACCACCCCUGAGCUACCUCAAAAGCUCCACUGCGCCGCCACUCCACCGUGAGCCCUAGGGUAGGUUAAGUCCCUUACCCUAACAUGCCUUAAUAUACCCUUGAGCCUCCCUUUGACCGACGUUGACCACGUAGUCAAAGCUAGCGCCUAACAAUUCUUCCCCCCCAACAAAGUCCUUGUCCCAAGGACGAGUUGUACCAGUGAUCACCCUUUCUGGGGAAUCCUGCUCAAGCUCCUGGUCCAUCUUCCACAGCCGUAUACAUCAAGGAGGCAUUGGGCCCGUCACUCCGAGAUAGUACACCUUUCAACUGGCUGACAUAAAAUACCGGAUGAAUUUUCACCCCAGCUGGCAGCCGCACCCGAUAAGCCGCUUUACCAAUGCGCUCCAACACUUCAUAUGGACCAGCAUAUCGAUGGGAGAGUUUAUCACUCUUCCCUAUCCGUAAAGGCACCAAGGUGUUCCGCCGCUCACUUGACGGAAAGAUCACUCGCACAAAGACGAGAUCACCCACCUUAUAUUCCCGGAAUUGGCGAUGCUCAUUAGCAAACUUCUCCGCUCUAUCUUGAGCUGCUUGCAAAUUCUGUUUGCACACCACCAGAAUCUCAUCAAGUUCUGUGGCCAGAUCAGUUGCCUCGGAAUCAAGCUUUUCUUGAACGUCCUUACUCAAAUGCAAUCCCAACUCCACCGCUGUUCGAGGAUGCCUUCCAAACAUCGCAAAGUAAGGACUUAGCUUGGUUCCACUGUGUUGGCUAUUGUUGUAAGCAAAUUGCACCAACGGAAGAUAUAGAUCCCAUUGUCCUUGCCUUUGACCAAUGCUACAACAUAGCAUAUCCUCCACCACUUGAUUCACACGCUCAGUUUGCCCAUCCGUCUGAGGAUGAUCUCCACUCGAGAGUUUCAAAGUCACUUGCAUAACCUUUGCAAAGCUUUUCCAAAAUCCACUGGUGAACUUUGAAUCUCGAUCACUAAUGAUGUCCUCCGGCAAACCAAAAUUAGGAAAAACCUUCUCCAAGUAAACCGCAGCCAAGUCUGAGGCAGUGACAGUCUUCCGAAGAGCCAACAACCGCACAUACUUCGUCAACCGAUCCACUAUGACCCAUACUUGCUCCUUUUGCCUCUGUGUUCGUGGCAAACAAGUGGUGAAGUCCAUAGAGAUACUACACCAACGGCUCUGAGGAAUAGGUAAAGGUUGCAAAAGUCCCCCCCGGCUUCUCCCGUGGCACCUUAACCCGCUGAUAAAGCUCGCAUGAUUUACAAUACUUGAGGAUAUCAGCCUUCAUAUUCCUCCAAUAAAAGUUGCGCUUAAUCAACUCAUACGUCUUCUUCCCCCCAAAAUGACCGGCCUCUGGACGAUCAUGAUAGUGGAAUAAAACUUGAGUAAUUAACGCAUCCACCUGUGGCAAAUAGACACGGCCAUUAUAGUAGAGAAUCCCAUCCACCAAUGAGAAAGGGGCUUCCAUCUGGGCUCGCAAAGAGGCUACCUCAACAUCCUGAGCCUGAGCAUGCUCAACCAAUUGCCCAAACUCGCUGACCAUCUUACUCAAAUGAUGACAAAAUCGUGUUCGUAACGUUGUCACAUGACGAACACGAGAUAAAGCAUCCGCCACCACAUUUGAUUUUCCCGGACGAUGCUCAAUAGGAAACUCCCCAAACUCCAUGAGUUUGACCAUCCAAUGAGCUUGCCUAGUGUUCAACUCCUUCUGUGUGAAAAGAUACACAAGUGGUUUGUGAUCUGUCAACACCACGAACACUGCACCAUAAAGAUAGUGCCGCCACGUCCGCAAAGCAUGAACAAUAGAGAGUAACUCUUGCUCAUAUGUGGAAUAGCGUUGCUCUGCGGAAUUCAAAGUUCGACUCUCAUAUGCAAUAGUCUGUCCCUUUUGCAUGAGAACUCCUCCCAGUGCAUAACCACUCGCAUCGCAUGUCACCUCGUAAGGUUUCGAUGGAUCAGCAAUGCGAAGCACUGGAGCCUUGCUCAACAAUCGUUUCAGCGCCACAAAACUCUCCUCUUGUGGCGUCUUCCACUCAAAUGGCACAUUCUUACGUAACAACCGCGUCAAAGGAAUAGCCACCUCUGCAAACUUAUGUUGGAAACGUCGGUAGUAACUAGCCAUACCAAGAAAACUGCGCAACUUAGCCACUGUAGUCGGUGUAGGCCAGUUUUCCACCACAGCCACCUUCCUUGGAUCCGUCUUGACACCCUUAGAUGUCACAAUAUGGCCUAGAUAUUCCACCUCCGACUUUGCAAAUUCACAUUUGCUCUUCUUCGCAUAAAGUUUGCUGUCUCGAAGUAACAAAAGAACCUUGCGCAAAUGCACCCUAUGCUCCUCCGUAUUCUUGCUAAAAACAAGAAUAUCGUCCAAGAAAAUCUCCACAAACUCAUGAAGAUAACGCCCAAAGACCUCCGUCAUCAACCGAGUAAAUGUGGCUGGUGCAUUCGUCAAACCAAACGGCAUAACUGUAAACUCAAAAUGUCCGAAGCUUGUGUUGAAUGCCGUCUUGGAGAUAAUCAUCCAUUGCAAUCUGAUGAUAUCCACUCCUCAGAUCAAUCUUGGUAAACACUCGUGCUUCACCAAGCUUGUCUAGGAUAUCAUCUACACGUGGCAUCGGCAUCUUAUCCUUCACUGUCUUCUUGUUCAAAGCGCGGUAGUCAAUACACAUUUGCAUUGAACCGUCCUUCUUCUUCACAAGCAAGACUGGAGCACCAAAUGGAGACUUACUUGGCUGAAUGAAUCCAAACUCAAGUAACUCCUUGACUUGUCGUUGAACUUCUUGCUCCUCCGCAUAACUUAACCGAAAUGGACGCCAGUAAAUUGGCCGCGUCCCCGGCUCCAAUGUAAUCCCAUGCUCCACACCUCGUAAUGGAGGCAAUCCAUGAGGAAGUUCAGAUGGAAAAACAUCAGAAAACUCGUCGAGUACAUCCCGUAACUGCGGACAUUCAGCCUUGUAGUGUCCAAGUUCGCCGCAAUGAUGACAACCCUGUCUAUAAUUCUUCACAAAGCAUUUCUGCUUCUUGGACCCCUUUGCAUUAGAAGUAGUCACCACCGACUUCAACUUGUGAUGCUUGUUCCCAUCCUUGUUACCACGGCGAUCAUCACAACGAUUCUCGACACGCUUAAUGCUCCACUUUAUCUCUGGAUCCACCUUCACCAACCAUGGCAUCCCAAGGAUGAGAUCCACACGAUGGAUAUCCGCGNNNNNNNNNNNNNNNNNNNNNNNNNNNNNNNNNNNNNNNNNNNNNNNNNNNNNNNNNNNNNNNNNNNNNNNNNNNNNNNNNNNNNNNNNNNNNNNNNNNNNNNNNNNNNNNNNNNNNNNNNNNNNNNNNNNNNNNNNNNNNNNNNNNNNNNNNNNNNNNNNNNNNNNNNCGCUCCCACUAUCCAAUAAAAUCCGCACUGGAUCGCCACGGAACACGCCCUCCAGCAUUAAAGCUGAUUCACGCAUAUCCUCGAGCUCCAUCUUGUUCCACACACAGUUGAGUUGACGAGCAAUAACCGAAUGGACGCCAGUAAAUUGGCCGCGUCCCCGGCUCCAAUGUAAUCCCAUGCUCCACACCUCGUAAUGGAGGCAAUCCAUGAGGAAGUUCAGAUGGAAAAACAUCAGAAAACUCGUCGAGUACAUCCCGUAACUGCGGACAAUCAGCCUUGUAGUGUCCAAGUUCGCCGCAAUGAUGACAACCCUGUCUAUAAUUCUUCACAAAGAACUUCUGCUUCUUGGACCCCUUUGCAUCUGAAGUAGUCACCACCGACUUCAACUUGUGAUGCUUGUUCCCAUCCUUGUGUCCACGGCGAUCAUCACAACGAUUCUCGACAGAAGGACUCCGCGAACGCUUGCGAGACUUGUGCUUGUCAUUGUCAAGUCGACGAGCCGCAUCAAAGAGCUCCUCCAAACUCUUUGUAGGCUGAGAAUGACGCAAGUGUUGCCGCAUGCUCUCACUAUGUAGGCCAUCAAUGAAGUAGGACUUGUUCUGAUCUGGAUCCUUCGUUGGAACACGACUAAUCAAGCGAGUAAGCUUCUCAAUAUAAUCCCCGAGCGUCAUUUUCCCUUGCUGGAAAUGGCGAAGUUCUGUACGAGCAUUCUCCACGUCGUAAUGAGGGGCAAAACGUAAACGGAAAGCAGCCUCAAACUCAUCCAUGGUAGACACUGGUGGUUUCUUAUCCACAACACGGGACUCCUCAAGCCAAUUCCACCAUCGAAGACCCGCAUCACGCAAAACCAUCGGAAUAGCCACUAAAGCCUCUGCAUCUGGAGUUCCUCUAGCAGCCAAAAACUUCUUCACAUUGGCUAGCCAAGCAAGACACUCGUCCACACCACCAUCACUGGAAAAGGUUGGAAUCUUGAGUCGAUCUACCAAAGAAGGUUUACUUGGAGCGCUACCCCGUCCAGCCUCGAGUGCCUCAACACGCCCACGCAUGGUAUCCAUCAUGCCAUGCAUCUCGUCUUGCAUCUCUUACUGAUUUUUAUUAAGGGCUCGCAGCUCAUGAACCACAUCUUGAAUGGUCCAAAUCUCCGCAGCUUCGUCGGCACCACCAUCGACAAUAGGAUUCCAGCGUUCAGCUUGGUCGGCCAUCGCAACCAAUGCUCUGAUACCAAUGUUAUGAUCCGGCGCAAAAAGACAAAGAUCUCAUUGCCCUAGACUAUGCUACGCCACCUCUUGAGGUUCCUCACCACCCAACCACCCCCGAGCUACCUCAAAAGCUCCACUGCGCCGCCGCUCCACCGUGAGCCCUAGGGUAGGUUAAGUCCCUUACCCUAACAUGCCUUAAUAUACCCUUGAGCCUCCCUUUGACCGACGUUGACCACGUAGUCAAAGCUGGCACCUAACAUACAGCAUGUGAUGCACUAUCAUUCGAUCUCAAUAAAAGAAAAAAAACUAAUUUGAUAUUGCAAGUACUGAAAGAUAGUUCUUUAAAGAACUUCUUACCAUAUUUUGUUGGAGCAUACUGAUGCCAAUGGAAAGUAAACCUGCUAACUACUAAAGCAUAUUCGUACUUACAAGUAAAAAUUGAUUACUCCCUAUUAAUCUUAUAAAAAAUACGAAACACUUUAAACCUGGUUUAUUGUAGCUAUCCGUUGGAGUAUUUCUCAAAAACUAA